GACGAACGCUGGCGGCGUGCUUAACACAUGCAAGUCGAACGGAGCGAAUGAAAGCUUGCUUUUAUGAGCUUAGUGGCAAACGGGUGAGUAACACGUAGACAACCUGCCGACAGGAUGGGGACAACAUUCCGAAAGGAAUGCUAAUACCGAAUGAAGUCGAGGGAAGGCAUCUUCCUUCGAUGAAAGAUGGCCUCUGAACAUGCUAUCACCUGCCGAUGGGUCUGCGUCUGAUUAGCUGGUUGGUGAGGUAACGGCUCACCAAGGCGACGAUCAGUAGCCGGUCUGAGAGGAUGAACGGCCACAUUGGGACUGAGACACGGCCCAGACUCCUACGGGAGGCAGCAGUGGGGAAUCUUCCGCAAUGGGCGCAAGCCUGACGGAGCAACGCCGCGUGAGUGAAGAAGGUCUUCGGAUCGUAAAGCUCUGUUGACGGGGACGAACGUGCGAGAGGUGAAUAAUCUCUUGUAAUGACGGACCUUCGAGGAGCC
rnacentral:rRNA from 1 species